AACAAAAAGUCAUUAUUCUCUGUGUCUAUGUGAGCAGCGGGAGAAAGACUGAAAGAGGGAGAUUGGAAAAACCGUAAAGCCAAAACCCUAGGCUAGUGUUAUUGGCUCAAGUUUUAGAACUGGUUCAAUCUUCAAUUUUGGUAACACCCAACACGUGUAAUAGUGUUGUCCUACGGCUACAACUCAAAGUCAUUCUUGGUGGAGCUUGAAGGAAGCCUUUUCUCUAAAACUUCUGUUACAGGUUGAUGAUAUAUGAUGCCGAAUAAUCGUAAACCAAGCAAACGAGGAAGAUUAGAAGCAUAUUACAACCCUAUUCCCAGAGUAGAU